GACGAACGCUGGCGGCGUGCUUAACACAUGCAAGUCGAACGGAAAGGCCCUGCUUUUGUGGGGUGCUCGAGUGGCGAACGGGUGAGUAACACGUGAGUAACCUGCCCUUGACUUUGAGAUAACUUCAGGAAACUGGGGCUAAUACCGGAUAGGAGCUCCUGCUGCAUGGUGGGGGUUGGAAAGUUUCGGCGGUUGGGGAUGGACUCGCGGCUUAUCAGCUUGUUGGUGGGGUAGUGGCUUACCAAGGCUUUGACGGGUAGCCGGCCUGAGAGGGUGACCGGCCACAUUGGGACUGAGAUACGGCCCAGACUCCUACGGGAGGCAGCAGUGGGGAAUAUUGCACAAUGGGCGGAAGCCUGAUGCAGCAACGCCGCGUGCGGGAUGACGGCCUUCGGGUUGUAAACCGCUUUCGCCUGUGACGAAGCGUGAGUGGCGGCAAUGGGUAAAGAAGCACCGGCUAACUACGUG
rnacentral:rRNA from 1 species